GGGGGCGUGGCGAAAUUGGUAGACGCACUGGAUUUAGGUUCCAGCGCCGCAAGGUGUAAGAGUUCGAGUCUCUUCGCCCCCACUA
rnacentral:tRNA from 1 species